rnacentral:sRNA from 1 species
GCUCUGAUCGUCUCCAGUUCUCUCCGUUCACACACCACAAGGGUUUGAACUGGAGUAACAGUAGUCAUGGUAGUUUUCAGAUGCCAUUGGGGACACAAGCCUGUGGUUGCUUGGUUACAAAAUACAAAGGUUCUUAAGAUUUUUAAUGAUUUCUAGUUUCUUAGCUUGUAAAGUUGUAAAAAGUAAUGUACGACCUGUAUGAAGAAAUACUUUUAAUUGUAAGAUGUGCAGUGUUUUCUGCUUUGAUAAGAUAUAUUUUUUUACAUCAAAAUUAAUAGUCAAUCAUUGGUUUAAUGUGCUCCUCAUGUUUUUUGCUGAUGUUAUUUCAGACAUUAAUGUUGAUUAAAGAUCAGUUGCCGAG